AUUGAACGCUGGCGGCAGGCCUAACACAUGCAAGUCGAGCGGAUGAAGGGAGCUUGCUCCUGGAUUCAGCGGCGGACGGGUGAGUAAUGCCUAGGAAUCUGCCUGGUAGUGGGGGAUAACGUCCGGAAACGGGCGCUAAUACCGCAUACGUCCUGAGGGAGAAAGUGGGGGAUCUUCGGACCUCACGCUAUCAGAUGAGCCUAGGUCGGAUGAGCUAGUUGGUGGGGUAAAGGCCUACCAAGGCGACGAUCCGUAACUGGUCUGAGAGGAUGAUCAGGCACACGGGAACAGAGACACGGUCCAGACUCCUACGGGAGGCAGCAGUGGGGAAUAUUGGACAAUGGGCGAAAGCCUGAUCCAGCCAUGCCGCGUGUGUGAAGAAGGUCUUCGGAUUGUAAAGCACUUUAAGUUGGGAGGAAGGGCAGUACGUUAAGACCGUGCUGUUUUGACGUUACCAACAGAAUAAGCACCGGCUAACUUCGUG
rnacentral:rRNA from 1 species